CCAGGAAAAAGAGAAGAAGAAAAAGCGGAAGUUAGUUUCCACACUGGCAGCAUGGCCCGAUGGACGCACAAUUGUUGAAAAAAUGUGUACUUGGUAAUUUUAUUGUAAUACUUAAGUGUCUUAUUUACUGUAGUGGAGAAAGUGAACGGUUGCCGCCGUCGUGUGGUUUUCUUAUUUACCCGAGGCGAACACACCGGAACACCUUAUAUUUUUGUAUUACCAGAAAUCUCUUUUUAAUGUGUCCAGUCGACGAAGACCACCCAACGCAAACUGAGUGGACAAUAAAAGGUCACCCUGAAGUCACCUUGCAAGUGUGUAUAUUGUCUUAUUCACUAAAUAGUAAUACAAUUGUGUGUAAACUCCAUUUUGUGGUUUGCUUUCUAUUGUUUUGUUCAAAAUAAACUGGAGAACCAUCUUGGAUGAGGAUUGAAUUGGGGAAUGAAGAGAGUCAUAAUUUGGGUCUCUGCUAAAUAAUUGGCUAUAAAUAUGUUAUAUGUUGUUGUUAUUUUUUGUCAGUAUAUACCUACAUAUGGGCACCGAUGUGUACGAAACUAUUCCUUUUCAAGGGUCAAUUAAAAGCUCUAUGAUUGUGAUUUGUCACAAUGUAACAUC